rnacentral:rRNA from 1 species
UUAAGCAUAUAAGUAAGCGGAGGAUAAGAAACUAAAUAGGAUUCCUUAGUAAUGGCGAAUGAACAGGGAUCAGCUCAGCAUGGAAAUUGGGGCCCUCGGCCUUGAAUUGUAGUCUCGAGAUGUAUCGCCAACGGAGGCGCAGAUGUAAGCCUCUUGGAAAGGAGCAUCAACGAGGGUGAGAGUCCCGUUUGUCAUCUGCAGUCCCCCGUGCACGGCAUACCUUCUAAGAGUCGCGUUCCUCGGAAUUGGAGCGUAAAUUGGGUGGUAAAUUUCAUCUCAAGCUAAAUAUUGGUUCGAGACCGAUAGCAAACAAGUACCAUGAGGGAAAGAUGAAAAGGACUUUGAAAAGAGAGUUAAAAGUGCCUGAAAUUGCUGAAAGGGAAGCGAAUGGAACCAGUGUUGCUUGGCAAGAUUGUCGGGUGCAUGACGCGCUUGAUCGUCUCUUGCCUUGUGUGUCAACGCCAGUUCGCGAUCGAGGAAAACUCCAGGGUCAUGGUAGCUCGUCUACGGGUGAGUGAAUAGCCUUGGCAGAACUCAUUUGCGGACUGUUUCUUUCGUGUCUGGUUGCAGUGUCCUUGGCAUUCUGGAAGCUCGUCUUGGCUUGCCACUGGCGGGGGACCUGGGUGACUUGGGCAUUUCCCUGACACAAAGACGAUGACUAAAUGGUUCUAUUCGACCCGUCUUGAAACACGG